rnacentral:tRNA from 1 species
AAAAAGAUAAGCUAAGUAAAGCUAUUAGGUUCAUACCCUAAUUAUAGAGGUUAUACCCCUCUUCUUUUUA